rnacentral:rRNA from 1 species
CCUACGGGGGGCUGCAGUGGGGAAUAUUGGACAAUGGGGGCAACCCUGAUCCAGCCAUGCCGCGUGUGUGAAGAAGGCCCUCGGGUUGUAAAGCACUUUCAGUGAGGAAGAACGCCUGGUGGUUAAUACCCAUCAGGAAAGACAUCACUCACAGAAGAAGCACCGGCUAACUCCGUGCCAGCAGCCGCGGUAAUACGGAGGGUGCGAGCGUUAAUCGGAAUUACUGGGCGUAAAGCGCGCGUAGGUGGCUUGAUAAGCCGGUUGUGAAAGCCCCGGGCUCAACCUGGGAACGGCAUCCGGAACUGUCAAGCUAGAGUGCAGGAGAGGAAGGUAGAAUUCCCGGUGUAGCGGUGAAAUGCGUAGAGAUCGGGAGGAAUACCAGUGGUGAAGGCGGCCUUCUGGACUGACACUGACAUUGAGGUGCGAAAGCGUGGGUAGCAAACAGGAUUAGAUACCCUUGUAGUC